rnacentral:lncRNA from 1 species
CGUAAGAGCUCCGUUGCUAUAUUAAAGGUAUAAUUGAUAUUAACUGCUCUAACUUUUAACGUAAGAACUUCGUUGCUAAAAUUUACUUCGCAAAUAAUAGUAUAGAUUUGGAUAAUUCUUACUUUUAAUCACUUAUAUUAUUAAAAAGUCAAAUUCGUUUUUAUUUUUUAUUAGUUUAUAUAUUUAAUUUAUUAAGGGCAUAAUUGAUAUUAACCACUCUAACUUUUAACGUAGGAGCUUCGUUGCUAAAAAUUACUUCGCA